AGAACUACCAUGCAAGGCACUAGACUGCCAUCAGGAGCAACUUGGGUUCAGUGUCUUUCCCCAAGGACACUUCAGCAUGUGGAGGGGCCGAGGAACAAACCACCAACCCUGAGAUUAGUGGACAACCCGCUCUACCACCUGAGUCACAGCCACUCCAAGGAAUUCUGUCUAUCCACAAUUGAAAGUGUGCGUACUCCUGCUGCCUGAUGUGAUGCAAUGCUGAUUCAUCCUGAUGGAAAAUGAAUGUCCAUAAUGCCAUCUUUAUAUGUUAGUCAAUAAUACAUUGUCAUUAUUCUAAUACAGUGUAAUACAGUGUCAUAAUACAGUGUUAUGAACAUGUCACUCGGAUGCAG
ensembl:lncRNA